rnacentral:rRNA from 1 species
AGGACAAACGCUGGCGGCGUACUUAAGACAUGCAAGUCGAACGGGCGCUUCACCUUCGGGUUGGUGUGCUAGUGGCGGACGGGUGAGUAACGCGUAGGAACCUGUCAUCAAGAGGGGGAUAACGCUGGGAAACCGGCGCUAAUACCGCAUGUGGUCAUGAAAAUGAAGAAAGCAGCAAUGCGCUUGAUGAGGGGCCUGCGUCCGAUUAGCUUGUUGGUGGGGUAAAGGCCUACCAAGGCAUCGAUCGGUAGCUGGUCUGAGAGGAUGGUCAGCCACACUGGGACUGAGACACGGCCCAGACUCCUACGGGAGGCAGCAGUUAGGAAAUUUUCCCAAUGGGCGCAAGCCUGAGGGAGUAACGCCGCGUGGAGGAUGGCGGCUUUCGGGUUGUAAACUCCUUUUCUGUGGGAAGAGUAGAAGACGGUACCGCAGGAAUAAGCCUCGGCUAACUACGUGCCAGCAGCCGC